UACGUAGGGGGCUAGCGUUGUCCGGAAUCAUUGGGCGUAAAGCGCGCGUAGGCGGCCAGAUAAGUCCGGUGUGAAAGUCACAGGCUCAACCUGUGAAUGCCGCUGGAAACUGUCUGGCUAGAGUCCGGAAGGGGCGAGUGGAAUUCCUGGUGUAGCGGUGAAAUGCGUAGAUAUCAAGAGGAACACCAGAGGCGAAGGCGGAUUGCUGGGCUGAUACUGACGCUGAGGCGCGAAAGCUAGGGUAGCAAACGGG
rnacentral:rRNA from 1 species